CGAACGGAGAAUUUUAUUUCGGUAGAAUUCUUAGUGGCGAACGGGUGAGUAACGCGUAGGCAACCUGCCCUUUAGACGGGGACAACAUUCCGAAAGGAGUGCUAAUACCGGAUGUGAUCAUCGUGCCGCAUGGCAGGAUGAAGAAAGAUGGCCUCUACAAGUAAGCUAUCGCUAAAGGAUGGGCCUGCGUCUGAUUAGCUAGUUGGUAGUGUAACGGACUACCAAGGCGAUGAUCAGUAGCCGGUCUGAGAGGAUGAACGGCCACAUUGGGACUGAGACACGGCCCAAACUCCUACGGGAGGCAGCAGUGGGGAAUCUUCCGCAUGGACGAAAGUCUGACGGAGCAACGCCGCGUGAGUGAUGAAGGAUUUCGGUCUGUAAAGCUCUGUUGUUUAUGACGAACGUGCAGUGUGUGAACAAUGCAUUGCAAUGACGGUAGUAAACGAGGAAGCCACGGCUAACUACGUGCCAGCAGCCGCGGUAAUACGUAGGUGGCGAGCGUUGUCCGGAAUUAUUGGGCGUAAAGAGCAUGUAGGCGGCUUAAUAAGUCGAGCGUGAAAAUGCGGGGCUCAACCCCGUAUGGCGCUGGAAACUGUUAGGCUUGAGUGCAGGAGAGGAAAGGGGAAUUCCCAGUGUAGCGGUGAAAUGCGUAGAUAUUGGGAGGAACACCAGUGGCGAAGGCGCCUUUCUGGACUGUGUCUGACGCUGAGAUGCGAAAGCCAGGGUAGCGAACGGGAUUAGAUACCCCGGUAGUCCUGGCCGUAAACGAUGGGUACUAGGUGUAGGAGGUAUCGACCCCUUCUGUGUCGGAGUUAACGCAAUAAGUACCCCGCCUGGGGAGCACGGCCGCAAGGUUGAAACUCAAAGGAAUUGACGGGGGCCCGCACAAGCGGUGGAGUAUGUGGUUUAAUUCGACGCAACGCGAAGAACCUUACCAAGGCUUGACAUUGAGCGCCAUACCCAGAGAUGGGUAGUUCCCUUCGGGGACGUGAAAACAGGUGGUGCAUGGCUGUCGUCAGCUCGUGUCGUGAGAUGUUGGGUUAAGUCCCGCAACGAGCGCAACCCCUAUCCUAUGUUACCAGCAAGUAAAGUUGGGGACUCAUGGGAGACUGCCAGGGACAACCUGGAGGAAGGCGGGGAUGACGUCAAGUCAUCAUGCCCCUUAUGUCUUGGGCUACACACGUACUACAAUGGUCGGAAACAGAGGGAAGCGAAGCCGCGAGGCAGAGCAAACCCCAGAAACCCGAUCUCAGUUCGGAUCGCAGGCUGCAACCCGCCUGCGUGAAGUCGGAAUCGCUAGUAAUCGCAGGUCAGCAUACUGCGGUGAAUACGUUCCCGGGCCUUG
rnacentral:rRNA from 1 species